rnacentral:rRNA from 1 species
UACGGAGGGGGCUAGCGUUGUUCGGAAUUACUGGGCGUAAAGCGCGCGUAGGCGGACCUGCAAGUCGGGGGUGAAAGCCCGAGGCUCAACCUCGGAACUGCCUUCGAUACUGCGGGUCUCGAGUCCGGGAGAGGUGAGUGGAAUUCCUAGUGUAGAGGUGAAAUUCGUAGAUAUUAGGAAGAACACCAGUGGCGAAGGCGGCUCACUGGCCCGUUACUGGACGCUGAGGAGCGAAAGCGUGGGUAGCGAACAGG